rnacentral:tRNA from 1 species
CCCCUGGUAGCUCAGUUGGUAAAGAAUCUACCUGCAAUGCAGGAGAGCCAGGUUCGAUCCCUGGGCGGGGAA